rnacentral:rRNA from 1 species
CGUGGAGACAGGUGGUGCAUGGCUGUCGUCAGCUCGUGUCGUGAGAUGUUGGGUUAAGUCCCGCAACGAGCGCAACCCUCACCUCUUGUUGCCAUCAGGUCAUGCUGGGCACUCUAGAGGAACUGCCCCGGUCAACGGGGAGGAAGGCGGGGAUGACGUCAAGUCAUCAUGCCCCUUACGUCCUGGGCUACACACGUGCUACAAUGGCCGGUAUAAAGGGAUGCCACACCGCGAGGUAGAGCUAAACCCAAAAAGCCGGUCUAAGUUCAGAUUGGAGUCUGCAACUCGACUCCAUGAAGGAGGAAUCGCUAGUAAUCGCGUAUCAGCACGACGCGGUGAAUACGUUCCCGGGCCUUGUACACACCGCCCGUCACACCACGAAAGCCUGCUGUACUCGAAGUCGCUGAG